rnacentral:rRNA from 1 species
GAUGAACGCUGGCGGCGUGCCUAAUACAUGCAAGUCGAGCGAACGGACGAGAAGCUUGCUUCUCUGAUGUUAGCGGCGGACGGGUGAGUAACACGUGGAUAACCUACCUAUAAGACUGGGAUAACUUCGGGAAACCGGAGCUAAUACCGGAUAAUAUUUUGAACCGCAUGGUUCAAAAGUGAAAGACGGUCUUGCUGUCACUUAUAGAUGGAUCCGCGCUGCAUUAGCUAGUUGGUAAGGUAACGGCUUACCAAGGCAACGAUGCAUAGCCGACCUGAGAGGGUGCUCGGCCACACUGGAACUGAGACACGGUCCAGACUCCUACGGGGGCAGCAGUAGGGAAUCUUCCGCAAUGGGCGAAAGCCUGACGGAGCAACGCCGCGUGAGUGGUGAAGGUCUUCGGAUCGUAAAACUCUGUUAUUAGGGAAGAACAUAUGUGUAAGUAACUGUGCACAUCUUGACGGUACCUAAUCAGAAAGCCACGGCUAACUACGUG